rnacentral:rRNA from 1 species
GUCCUUUUGAUUAUAAUUUAAGGUCUAACCUGCCCACUGAAUUUAUAUUUAAAUGGCCGCAGUAUUUUGACUGUGCAAAGGUAGCAUAAUAAUUAGUUUUUUAAUUAAAAGCUUGUAUGAAAGGUUUGACGAGGUAAAAUCUGUCUCUAUUUAAUUUAAUUUAGAAUUUAACUUUUAAGUUAAAAGGCUUAAAUUUUUGUAAAAGACGAGAAGACCCUAUAGAUCUUUAUAUUUUUAUAAAUAAAAUUAAUUAAGAAUUUUUUAUAUUUUAUUUAUAUAAUUAUUUUAUUGGGGUAAUAAAAAGAUUAAAAAAAUUCUUUAUAUUUAUAUACAUUGAUUAAUGUUAUUUUGAUCCAGUUUUAUUGAUUAUAAGAUUAAGUUACCUUAGGGAUAACAGCGUAAUUUUUUUAGAGAGUUCAUAUCGAUAAAAAAGUUUGCGACCUCGAUGUUGGAUUAAAAAUUAUUUUAGGUGCAGAAGCUUAAAAAAUUGGUCUGUUCGACCAUUGAAUUUUUACAUGAUCUGAGUUCAGACCGGCGUAAGCCAGGUCGGUUUCUAUCUUUAUAUAAUAUAAAUAUUUUAGUACGAAAGGACCAAAUAUUUGAUAUAAUAAUAUUUUUAUAAUUGAAUUUCAUUAAAUA